rnacentral:rRNA from 1 species
AGAGUUUGAUCAUGGCUCAGAUUGAACGCUGGCGGCAUGCCUUACACAUGCAAGUCGAACGGCAGCGCGGGGCAACCUGGCGGCGAGUGGCGAACGGGUGAGUAAUAUAUCGGAACGUGCCCUGGAGUGGGGGAUAACGCAGCGAAAGUUGCGCUAAUACCGCAUACGAUCUAAGGAUGAAAGCAGGGGACCGCAAGGCCUUGUGCUCCUGGAGCGGCCGAUAUCUGAUUAGCUAGUUGGUGGGGUAAAGGCCUACCAAGGCAUCGAUCAGUAGCUGGUCUGAGAGGACGACCAGCCACACUGGAACUGAGACACGGUCCAGACUCCUACGGGAGGCAGCAGUGGGGAAUUUUGGACAAUGGGCGCAAGCCUGAUCCAGCAAUGCCGCGUGAGUGAAGAAGGCCUUCGGGUUGUAAAGCUCUUUUGUCAGGGAAGAAACGGUGUGGGCUAAUAUCCCGCACUAAUGACGGUACCUGAAGAAUAAGCACCGGCUAACUACGUGCCAGCAGCCGCGGUAAUACGUAGGGUGCAAGCGUUAAUCGGAAUUACUGGGCGUAAAGCGUGCGCAGGCGGUUUUGUAAGUUUGUCGUGAAAGCCCCGGGCUCAACCUGGGAAUUGCGAUGAAGACUGCAAGGCUUGAAUCUGGCAGAGGGGGGUAGAAUUCCACGUAGCAGUGAAAUGCGUAGAGAUGUGGAGGAACACCGAUGGCGAAGGCAGUGUCCUGGCGAGUGACUGACGCUGAGGUGCGAAAGCUAGGGGAGCGAACGGGAUUAGAUACCCUAGUAGUCC